UUCUGCAGGCUCAUCGCCCGGGUUGAUUGCUGCAGAGAUCAUCAUCAUCAUCAUCAUCAUCAUCAUCAGAGAAGCGAAACAUGGCCUUCGCUGUGUGAACUGGCGCUGAGGUUGCUGUUCUCGCAGGGCAGCGUUGAUUAAAAUGAUGUCCGUUCAAGCUGCCUGUGCCUUGCUCAGCCUUGCGCCCCUGUUGGUGCUUGGUGAUCCCCCCAUUUGGACCCAGCCAGAGCAAGUGCACCUCUCUUAUCCAGGAGCGCCCGGUUCAAUGGUGGUGACCUGGACCACCUUCAAUGAGACAAAGAGCGAGGUGGAGUACGGACUUCUGGGGGGUCGGCUCUUUGAGAUGAGCGCCCGCGGUGACGCUGCUCUGUUUGUGGACUCUGGCGAGGAAGAGCGAAAGAUGUACAUCCACAGGGUCACUCUCACAGACCUCAAGCCUGCCGCUACCUACGUCUACCACUGCGGGAGUGAUGACGGCUGGAGCGAUGUGUUCUCCUUCGCCGCUCUGAACGACAGCGCCAGCUUCAGCCCCCGAUUCGCUCUGUACGGCGACCUGGGCAACGAGAACCCUCAGUCGCUGGCUCGGCUGCAGAAGGAGACUCAGCUCGGCAUGUAUGAUGCCAUCCUGCACAUAGGUGACUUUGCCUACGACAUGCAUGAGGACAACGCCAGGAUCGGAGAUGAGUUCAUGAGGCAGAUUCAGUCCAUCGCCGCCUACGUGCCCUACAUGACCUGUCCAGGCAACCACGAGUCGGCAUAUAACUUCUCCAACUACAGGAAUCGGUUCAGCAUGCCAGGCCGGACUGAGAGCCUGUGGUACAGCUGGAACCUGGGGUCGGCGCACAUCAUCUCCGUCUCCACUGAGGUUUAUUUCUAUCUGGAAUUCGGCCAGGAUCUGAUCUUCAAGCAGCACGAGUGGCUGAGGAAAGACCUGGAGGAGGCCAACAAGCCAGAGAACCGAGCCCUGCGCCCGUGGAUCAUCACCAUGGGACACAGGCCCAUGUACUGCUCCGACGACGACCAGGACGACUGCACCACGUUUGACUCCUAUGUCCGACUGGGACGGAAUGACACAGAACCGCCAGCUCCGGGUCUGGAGGAUCUAUUCUACCGCUAUGGGGUGGAUGUGGAGUUGUGGGCACACGAGCACACGUAUGAGCGGCUUUGGCCCGUCUACGGCGACCAGGUGUACAAAGGAAGCAAAGAGCAGCCUUAUGUGAACCCGAAAGCUCCCGUGCACAUCAUCACAGGCUCCGCUGGCUGCAGAGAGAAGACCGACAGGUUCAACCCAAACCCCAAAGAGUGGAGCGCUUUCCGCAGCACGGACUACGGCUACACCCGCAUGCAGGUGGUCAACGGCACCCACCUUUACCUGGAGCAGGUCUCCGAUGACCAGUACGGGAAGGUGAUUGACAGCAUAUGGGUGGAGAAGGAACAGCAUGGCUUCUCUGCGUGGAAAUAAGGACCGCCGUGGAUAAUUUAAACUUAAGACAAGCACACUUGUUCCGCUGCGUCAUUGUGCACUCGAGAUGGAGAUGGAAAUGUUCCCGUGCAGUUCUGACCACAAGCACAUAAACAGGCGUUACCAGAAGAAGCUCCGUGGCUCCCUGCAGACAUCCAUCUGAGCCCUGCAGACAUCCAUCUGAGCCCUGCAGACAUCCAUCUGAGCCCUGCAGACAUCCAUCGCGAUGCGCACUGCUGCGAUUCAUCAGGACGACAUCAGGCCAACCACUACUCUAAGAAGGACGCAGCAUAGCUCUUGUCCUGCAUGCAGACAAGUGGGAGUGCCACGCCGCGCCGCGUCCCUCGGUUCAAGAAAUCUGUGUUCGGGUCCGUUGAUUCCCCAAAAAAUUGUCCUUCAGCAUCCACGCUUAAUGCGGGGACGCUAAAAUCACUCGGCCUGAUCCGUCAACAUACGGCGGGCGACUUCUCGCCGGUGACUGACUGUGAAGAAAGCCUCGCUGCGCUGAGAUGAGCGGAGAUCGUGCGAUUCAGAAACUAUGUGGCGUUGUGGGCUUUUGUCUUGUGAUCACACCUGACCUUCAGCGGGAGCUGGAGACGUCCCCUGCUCCUUAAGUGGUAGAGACGACUUGAGCUGCAGAGAGCUUUUGCUUUUCUCACAGACUGUCUCUGCUGUCCAAGUGCUUUCCCAGAAUGCAGCGUGCUUUUUGAGAACAAUGCCGGGCUCGUUACUCCUAUCCUGUGUCCCAAAUGUUACCCAUGCCAGGCCGUCCAUCUGUCUGUCUUCUUUAACUGUGAUUGGUGUUAUUAUCUCAAAUUUGGCUCUGAAUAUCAGCAGGGCUUGUCAUCGUUGGACCUUUUGUUAACAAAGCAACGCUCCUGCCAAUCCUGGUCUGAUCUGGAGCUCAGGCUGCGUGGAGGUGAAUAGUCUACCUUUGUUGUUUCUGUACAAAGGCAUCACUCUAUCGGCACUUGAGAUCUGAGCUCUAGCAAAGGAAAGGUCAGCGCGGGGUUUACAUGACUGGUGUUUUACAGGAACGGUAACACAAGCCCUCCUUUAAAAGCUCUGGUUUUGAAACCGUUAAGAUGGGAAUGAGGUGAUUAGCGGUCAUAAUGGGUUUUGCACUCAAAGCUCUAAACCUUUUACCCCUUUUAAAAAUGUCUCGUGGAGAGUCUGAGGAGUCUUUGAGUACGAUUGAGGCGUGUGUGGACGCCGUGCUUCACAUUUGGGACCAAAUAAAAGGGGUGGAGCAAUCCAGGAAAUCAUCUAACGUUGUAACAAUAUAAGACACAAGAGAAAAAUCUCAUUUUAGGCAUAACAUGUUACCUUAUUUUCCUUAAGAAACCGAUGCAGGAUCUAAUGGAUCUUUAAGCGCUCAGCUUAUGUAAGAUGUUAUUUUUACCCAUCCACCUGAAUUACGUCUGUCAUUAAAGACUCGCCUCUCACCUCCAA